rnacentral:rRNA from 1 species
GGGUUGUGAGGUUAAGCGACUAAGCGUACACGGUGGAUGCCCUGGCAGUCAGAGGCGAUGAAGGACGUGCUAAUCUGCGAAAAGCGUCGGUAAGGUGAUAUGAACCGUUAUAGCCGGCGAUGUCCGAAUGGGGAAACCCAGUGCAAUUCGUUGCACUAUCGUUUGAUGAAUACAUAGUCAAACGAGGCGAACCGGGGGAACUGAAACAUCUAAGUACCCCGAGGAAAAGAAAUCAACCGAGAUUCCCCCAGUAGCGGCGAGCGAACGGGGAGCAGCCCGGAGUCUGAAUCAGCUUGUGUGUUAGUGGAAGCGUCUGGAAAGUCGCAGGGUACAGGGUGAUACUCCCGUACACUAAAACGCACAGGCUGUGAACUCGAAGAGUAGGGCGGGACACGUGGUAUCCUGUCUGAAUAUGGGGGGACCAUCCUCCAAGGCUAAAUACUCCUGACUGACCGAUAGUGAACCAGUACCGUGAGGGAAAGGCGAAAAGAACCCCGGCGAGGGGAGUGAAAAAGAACCUGAAACCGUGUACGUACAAGCAGUAGGAGCCUCUUUAUGGGGUGACUGCGUACCUUUUGUAUAAUGGGUCAGCGACUUAUAUUCUGUAGCAAGGUUAACCGUAUAGGGGAGCCGCAGGGAAACCGAGUCUUAACUGGGCGUUAAGUUGCAGGGUAUAGACCCGAAACCCGGUGAUCUAGCCAUGGGCAGGUUGAAGGUUGGGUAACACUAACUGGAGGACCGAACCGACUAAUGUUGAAAAAUUAGCGGAUGACUUGUGGCUGGGGGUGAAAGGCCAAUCAAACCGGGAGAUAGCUGGUUCUCCCCGAAAGCUAUUUAGGUAGCGCCUCGUGAACUCAUCUUCGGGGGUAGAGCACUGUUUCGGCUAGGGGGUCAUCCCGACUUACCAACCCGAUGCAAACUACGAAUACCGAAGAAUGUUAUCACGGGAGACACACGGCGGGUGCUAACGUCCGUCGUGAAGAGGGAAACAACCCAGACCGCCAGCUAAGGUCCCAAAGUCAUGGUUAAGUGGGAAACGAUGUGGGAAGGCCCAGACAGCCAGGAUGUUGGCUUAGAAGCAGCCAUCAUUUAAAGAAAGCGUAAUAGCUCACUGGUCGAGUCGGCCUGCGCGGAAGAUGUAACGGGGCUAAACCAUGCACCGAAGCUGCGGCAGCGACACUAUGUGUUGUUGGGUAGGGGAGCGUUCUGUAAGCCGUUGAAGGUGGCCUGUGAGGGUUGCUGGAGGUAUCAGAAGUGCGAAUGCUGACAUAAGUAACGAUAAUGCGGGUGAAAAACCCGCACGCCGGAAGACCAAGGGUUCCUGUCCAACGUUAAUCGGGGCAGGGUGAGUCGACCCCUAAGGCGAGGCCGAAAGGCGUAGUCGAUGGGAAACAGGUUAAUAUUCCUGUACUCGGUGUUACUGCGAAGGGGGGACGGAGAAGGCUAUGUUGGCCGGGCGACGGUUGUCCCGGUUUAAGCAUGUAGGCGGAUGUUCCAGGUAAAUCCGGAACGUUAUUAACGCUGAGGUGUGAUGACGAGGCACUACGGUGCUGAAGUGACAAAUGCCCUGCUUCCAGGAAAAGCCUCUAAGCAUCAGGUAACAUCAAAUCGUACCCCAAACCGACACAGGUGGUCAGGUAGAGAAUACCAAGGCGCUUGAGAGAACUCGGGUGAAGGAACUAGGCAAAAUGGUGCCGUAACUUCGGGAGAAGGCACGCUGAUAGGUAGGUGAAGUGGUUUACCCAUGGAGCUGAAAUCAGUCGAAGAUACCAGCUGGCUGCAACUGUUUAUUAAAAACACAGCACUGUGCAAACACGAAAGUGGACGUAUACGGUGUGACGCCUGCCCGGUGCCGGAAGGUUAAUUGAUGGGGUUAUCCGUAAGGAGAAGCUCUUGAUCGAAGCCCCGGUAAACGGCGGCCGUAACUAUAACGGUCCUAAGGUAGCGAAAUUCCUUGUCGGGUAAGUUCCGACCUGCACGAAUGGCGUAAUGAUGGCCAGGCUGUCUCCACCCGAGACUCAGUGAAAUUGAACUCGCUGUGAAGAUGCAGUGUACCCGCGGCAAGACGGAAAGACCCCGUGAACCUUUACUAUAGCUUGACACUGAACACUGGUCCUUGAUGUGUAGGAUAGGUGGGAGGCUUUGAAGUGUGGACGCCAGUCUGCAUGGAGCCAUCCUUGAAAUACCACCCUUUAAUGGCUGGUGUUCUAACGUGGGCCCGUUAUCCGGGUUGCGGACAGUGUCUGGUGGGUAGUUUGACUGGGGCGGUCUCCUCCUAAAGAGUAACGGAGGAGCACGAAGGUCAGCUAAUCCUGGUCGGACAUCAGGAGGUUAGUGCAAUGGCAUAAGCUGGCUUGACUGCGAGCGUGACGGCGCGAGCAGGUGCGAAAGCAGGUCAUAGUGAUCCGGUGGUUCUGAAUGGAAGGGCCAUCGCUCAACGGAUAAAAGGUACUCCGGGGAUAACAGGCUGAUACCGCCCAAGAGUUCAUAUCGACGGCGGUGUUUGGCACCUCGAUGUCGGCUCAUCACAUCCUGGGGCUGAAGUAGGUCCCAAGGGUAUGGCUGUUCGCCAUUUAAAGUGGUACGCGAGCUGGGUUUAGAACGUCGUGAGACAGUUCGGUCCCUAUCUGCCGUGGGCGCUGGAGAAUUGAGGGGGGCUGCUCCUAGUACGAGAGGACCGGAGUGGACGCAUCACUGGUGUUCGGGUUGUCAUGCCAAUGGCAUUGCCCGGUAGCUAAAUGCGGAAGAGAUAAGUGCUGAAAGCAUCUAAGCACGAAACUUGCCCCGAGAUGAGUUCUCCCUGACUCCUUGAGAGUCCUGAAGGAACGUUGAAGACGACGACGUUGAUAGGCCGGGUGUGUAAGCGCAGCGAUGCGUUGAGCUAACCGGUACUAAUGAACCGUGAGGCUUAACCUUACAACGCCGAAG